rnacentral:rRNA from 1 species
AGUGAACGCUGGCGGUAGGCCUAACACAUGCAAGUCGAACGGCAGCACAGUAAGAGCUUGCUCUUACGGGUGGCGAGUGGCGGACGGGUGAGGAAUACAUCGGAAUCUACUUUUUCGUGGGGGAUAACGUAGGGAAACUUACGCUAAUACCGCAUACGACCUACGGGUGAAAGCAGGGGAUCUUCGGACCUUGCGCGAUUGAAUGAGCCGAUGUCGGAUUAGCUAGUUGGCGGGGUAAAGGCCCACCAAGGCGACGAUCCGUAGCUGGGCUGAGAGGAUGAUCAGCCACACUGGAACUGAGACACAGUCCAGACUCCUACGGGAGGCAGCAGUGGGGAAUAUUCGGCAAUGGGCGCAAGCCUGAUCCAGCCAUACCGCGUGGGUGAAGAAGGCCUUCGGGUUGUAAAGCCCUUUUGUUGGGAAAGAAAAGCAGCAGGUUAAUACCCCGCUGUUCUGACGGUACCCAAAGAAUAAGCACCGGCUAACUUCGUG